AUAACUACCGCAAUAUUCUAAAUACAUUAGGAUUUCCAGAAGAAGAAAAAUAGUUGUUGCAUAUUCUAAAUCACAAGAAAUGGCAGCAAAUAAGUUUUCAUCUCUUUUAUUAUUUUCAUUGAUGGUAUCUACGUUUAUCCUUUUACCAAUGGCUUCAGGAAAAAUCCGUAUAUGUCCGGUAUAAGGAGACCACCUUGUAAGGUCAGCCAAGAAUGUAUACAAAACUGUAGAAAAUUAGGGUACAUGACAAGAGGCUGUGAAGAAAAACAUUCCAGUAUAUAUUGUUGUUGUAUACCCAAAAUGAAAUCUCAGGAUAAUCCUCAUCACCUAGUGCAUUCCUAACUAAUUAACCUCUCAUUUUUAUGUAUUUUCAUUAUAUGAAUAAAAAUAUAUUUAUGUA